UUUCUUAAUAGAAAAGAUAUGUAGUGUAUUUAACCACAGUUUGCUCUCUAGACUUACAUCGUUGUCUGGAUUUAUCUCCAUAGUUUGAUCGUCAGUGCCCCACUUGAACAGGAGAAUGGGGGAAUAUAUAGUUGUACCACUUCUCCUCCAAAAUGUCAAGAUAUAAAACUAGACGCCCCAGAUUUGCCAGCUAAUGUGUCCCUUGGUAUGUCAAUGGCAAGUGAUCCCUCUGCAGAAAACACUGUGGUGAGUUGCUAGCUCCAGACCUUAUGUUAAGUACUUUUUAAAAUCACUGUUGAUCCAACUCCUCUGUCUUAUGUAUGUAAAAUGUCUUGUGUUAAAGAUUGCAUUGUGAAAAAUCACUGAACCUCCCAGUGGUUCUCCACAGAAUCAGCUAAUUUAAAAAACAACAACAACAACACAUUUUACAUAUUAGCUUAAUGCUACUGGGUGACUGUGGUCCCAUCUGCACCAGAAUGUAUGCCACAUAUACUUGGGCAAGAUACUAACCCCAAGCUGCACUCUGAUGCAUCUGUCAGAGUAUAAAUGCAUGUAAAUGUUAGAUAGAAAGCACUUACAUAGGAAAAGGAUAGAAAAAAUUAUUUGUUUGAGUGGGUGUGAAAGAGUGAGGUUGUAUAAGAAAAGUGCUACAUAAGACCCAGACCUUUUAAAAUUUACUGGUACAGAUAAUGUUCAGUGUGGUGUAGAUAGAGAGGAAAAGCAGGUCUGUCUGAAUGUAGAAAGAUGACAAAGGAAUAGAAGUCAGGUUUGUAUUUUGAGUGAGCUCUACAGCCUGGAUUGAGUACCACACCUCCAGAGCCCCCACAGGCCAUAUUCACACACAUGUUCCUGAAAGAGAGCAGAAUCAGAAAUUCUUUAAAAAAAAAAAAAUACAUUAGCUGAUACUGAAGAUUUAUGUGGGAAUUUAUUUUUUUCAGAUCUGAUUGAUUUUUAUAUGGAAUAAAGGAAACAGGGACAGGAAAUAAUCAGCCCAAUCAGAACUUGUCUUUGUCUCCUCUCAGGUGUGUUGUCCAUCCAUCCCAAAGCACUGCAAAAGUAUCACCAUGUACAAUGGUGUGUGCUUUCAGAUAGACAGCUCUAAUUCAUUUGGACCACCGAUACCAUCUUCUCUUGAAGGUAAUAGUAAACAGAGUUUGUGAAAAUGUACCUAUAAUAAAUAAUGCAUUUGAGUAAAAAAAAACAGAUUUUAAAUGAUGAUUUCAUUUAUUAAGGAAAAAAGCUUUUCAAACCUACCUGGCCCUUUGUGAAAAAGUAAUUGCCAUC
rnacentral:lncRNA from 1 species